rnacentral:rRNA from 1 species
GACGAACGCUGGCGGCGUGCUUAACACAUGCAAGUCGAACGGACAGGCCCUGCUUUUGUGGGGUGCUCGAGUGGCGAACGGGUGAGUAACACGUGAGUAACCUGCCCUUGACUUUGGGAUAACUUCAGGAAACUCGGGCUAAUACCGGAUAGGAGCUCCUGCUGCAUGGUGGUGGUUGGAAAGUUUCGGCGGUUGGGGAUGGACUCGCGGCUUAUCCGCUUGUUGGUGGGGUAGUGGCUUACCAAGGCUUUGACGGGUAGCCGGCCUGAGAGGGUGACCGGCGACAUUGGGACUGAGAUACGGCCCAGACUCCUACGGGAGGCAGCAGUGGGGAAUAUUGCACAGUGGGCGGAAGCCUGAUGCAGCAACGCCGCGUGCGGGAUGACGGCCUUCGGGUUGUAAACCGCUUUCGCCUGUGACGAAGAGUGAGUGACGGUAAUGGGUAAAGAAGCACCGGCUAACUACGUG